GACGAACGCUGGCGGCGCGCUUAAUACAUGCAAGUCGAGCGAGAACCAGGGCUUCGGCCCUGGGGACAGCGGCGAACGGGUGAGUAACACGUGGGUAAUCAACCCCCGACACCGGGAUAGCCCAGGGAAACUUGGAUUAAUACCGGAUGCCCCAUCUGGCUUUCGAGCCGGCUGGAAAAGGGUAGCUUCGGCCUCUGGUCGGGGACGAGCCCGCGGCGGAUUAGCUUGUUGGUAUGGGUAACGGCCUACCAAGGCGACGAUCCGUAGCUG
rnacentral:rRNA from 1 species